GGGAUAACCCGGCGAAAGUCGGACUAAUACCGCAUGAAGCAGGGGCCCCGCAUGGGGAUAUUUGCUAAAGAUUCAUCGCUGAUAGAUAGGCAUGCGUUCCAUUAGGCAGUUGGCGGGGUAACGGCCCACCAAACCGACGAUGGAUAGGGGUUCUGAGAGGAAGGUCCCCCACAUUGGUACUGAGACACGGACCAAACUCCUACGGGAGGCAGCAGUGAGGAAUAUUGAUCAAUGGGCGUAAGCCUGAACCAGCCAAGUCGCGUGAGGGAUGAAGGUUCUAUGGAUCGUAAACCUCUUUUAUAAGGGAAUAAAGUGUGGGACGUGUCCUGUUUUGUAUGUACCUUAUGAAUAAGGAUCGGCUAACUCCGUGCCAGCAGCCGCGGUAAUACGGAGGAUCCGAGCGUUAUCCGGAUUUAUUGGGUUUAAAGGGUGCGUAGGCGGCCUUUUAAGUCAGCGGUGAAAGUCUGUGGCUCAACCAUAGAAUUGCCGUUGAAACUGGGGGGCUUGAGUAUGUUUGAGGCAGGCGGAAUGCGUGGUGUAGCGGUGAAAUGCUUAGAUAUCACGCAGAACCCCGAUUGCGAAGGCAGCCUGCCAAGCCAUGACUGACGCUGAUGCACGAAAGCGUGGGGAUCAAACAGGAUUAGAUACCCUGGUAGUCCACGCAGUAAACGAU
rnacentral:rRNA from 1 species